UCAGUUCGGAUUGUAGGCUGCAACUCGCCUACAUGAAGUCGGAAUCGCUAGUAAUCGCGGAUCAGCAUGCCGCGGUGAAUACGUUCCCGGGCCUUGUACACACCGCCCGUCACACCAUGAGAGUUUGUAACACCCAAAGCCGGUGGGGUAACCUUUUGGAGCCAGCCGUCUAAGGUGGGACAGAUGAUUGGGGUGAAGUCGUAACAAGGUAGC
rnacentral:rRNA from 1 species